GGGUUACGCGGUCAAUGGGCUACCUAAAGAGGCGUUGGAGGUGUUUUACACGAUGCAACGAGAGAAUGUUAGACCGGAUUGCUAUUCAAUGGUUGGUGUGCUUUCAGCUUGUUCAAGGUUAGGAGCGUUAGAAGUUGGCGAAUGGGCUAGUAAGUUGAUGGACAUGAAUGAGUUUUUGUCUAAUGCUGUUUUAGGUACAGCACUUAUCGAUAUGUAUG
rnacentral:misc_RNA from 1 species